rnacentral:rRNA from 1 species
UACGAAGGGGGCUAGCGUUGCUCGGAAUCACUGGGCGUAAAGCGCACGUAGGCGGAUUGUUAAGUCAGGGGUGAAAUCCUGGAGCUCAACUCCAGAACUGCCUUUGAUACUGGCGAUCUCGAGUCCGGGAGAGGUGAGUGGAACUGCGAGUGUAGAGGUGAAAUUCGUAGAUAUUCGCAAGAACACCAGUGGCGAAGGCGGCUCACUGGGACGGUAUUGACGCUGAGACGCGAAAGCGUGGGGAGCAAACAGG